AACGAACGUUGGCGGCGUGGAUUAGGCAUGCAAGUCGAACGAAUCCCCGGCGGGGGUAACUCUGCCGGGGGGAAGUGGCGAAAGGGGCAGUAAGGCGUGGCUAACCUACCCCGGGGAUGGGCAUAGCCUCCCUAACGGGAGGGUAAUUCCCAGCGAUCUGGUUAGGGGGCAUCCCCCGACCAGGAAACGAAUCUCGCCUCGGGACGGGGUCACGUGAUAUUAGCUCGUUGGCGGGGUAACGGCCCACCAAGGCUCAGAUGUCUAGCGGGUGUGAGAGCACGACCCGCGCCACUGGCACUGCGACACUGGCCAGACUCCUACGGGAGGCUGCAGUCGAGGAUCUUCGGCAAUGGGCGCAAGCCUGACCGAGCGACGCCGCGUGGGCGAUGAAGGCCUUCGGGUUGUAAAGCCCUGUCGCGGGGGAGGAAAGCCGCAAGGUUUGACCGACCCCGGGAGGAAGCACGGGCUAAGUUCGUGCCAGCCGCCGCAGUAACAC
rnacentral:rRNA from 1 species